CUUGUGACCAGCUGGGCACUUUUCCAAUCAGAGACUGUUAAGAUCUUUGACAACAGAACCUGUAGUUGUUUGAAGAAGACUAUCAACAGUGACCUGGACGCUUGGUGAUACCAGGCUUCUAUCAAAGGGGUUACUCCGAAAAUAAAUAUCUUACAGGCAGCCUCAGGUUUUCCGAUCAGAGAGAGGUGAGCAUUCAGAUGCCAGCGGCCACCUGGCCGGUGUGGGUCCCUUAUUGGCGGCAGACAUGCCAUUUGGAAAACCCUAGAGAGAGGUCCUUACUGAUCUGCAUCCGGCGAUCUCCAUCUCCAUGCAGUGAGG